AAUAACUUUACCAUCCUGAAUCCAGGGUGAAGGAAAGAAACGAGUAACUGUGGGCCAGGAACAGUGGCUUACGCCUGUAAUUCCAGCACUUUGGGAGGCUGAGGCAGGAUCACCUGAGGUCUUUAAGCUCAAAGGGUCUAGAAACGAUGAUAUCCCAGCCACAGUGAGCUCACCUUGCACUCAGAUCUUCGUUUUCUAGCACUAUUCUCCAGCGUAUGAAACUGGCAAUCCUUGGAGAACUGGUUUGUUCCAGGACUGGGGCAGACGAAAUCCUAGCUAAGCCUGGAGUACUUUGUAGACCCAGGAAAUGAGGAUGUGUUUGAAAAAGAUGGGGAAUUGUUGAAAGAACCCAG
rnacentral:lncRNA from 10 species